UACGAAGGGGGCGAGCGUUGUUCGGAAUUACUGGGCGUAAAGGGCGCGCAGGCGGCCUUAGAAGUCAGAUGUGAAAGCCCCGGGCUCAACCUGGGAAUGGCAUUUGAUACUCUGAGGCUGGAGUACGGGAGAGGAGAGUGGAAUUCCCAGUGUAGAGGUGAAAUUCGUAGAUAGUUGGGAAGAACACCGGUGGCGAAGGCGGCUCUCUGGACCGUAACUGACGCUGAGGCGCGAAAGCGUGGGGAGCAAACAGG
rnacentral:rRNA from 1 species